rnacentral:rRNA from 1 species
UACGUAGGGUGCGAGCGUUUGUCCGGAAUUAUUGGGCGUAAAGAGCUCGUAGGCGGCUUGUCGCGUCGACCGUGAAAACUCGCAGCUCAACUGCGAGCCUGCGGUCGAUACGGGCAGGCUAGAGUUCGGUAGGGGAGACUGGAAUUCCUGGUGUAGCGGUGAAAUGCGCAGAUAUCAGGAGGAACACCGAUGGCGAAGGCAGGUCUCUGGGCCGAUACUGACGCUGAGGAGCGAAAGCGUGGGGGAGCGAACAGG